GAUGAACGCUGGCGGCGUGCCUAAUACAUGCAAGUCAAGCGAACAGACGAGGAGCUUGCUCCUCUGACGUUAGCGGCGGACGGGUGAGUAACACGUGGAUAACCUACCUAUAAGACUGGGAUAACUUCGGGAAACCGGAGCUAAUACCGGAUAAUAUAUUGAACCGCAUGGUUCAAUAGUGAAAGACGGUUUUGCUGUCACUUAUAGAUGGAUCCGCGCCGCAUUAGCUAGUUGGUAAGGUAACGGCUUACCAAGGCAACGAUGCGUAGCCGACCUGAGAGGGUGAUCGGCCACACUGGAACUGAGACACGGUCCAGACUCCUACGGGAGGCAGCAGUAGGGAAUCUUCCGCAAUGGGCGAAAGCUUGACGGAGCAACGCCGCGUGAGUGAUGAAGGUCUUCGGAUCGUAAAACUCUGUUAUUAGGGAAGAACAAAUGUGUAAGUAACUAUGCACGUCUUGACGGUACCUAAUCAGAAAGCCACGGCUAACUACGUG
rnacentral:rRNA from 1 species